UUCCAACGAUUCUUGGUAAAGUUUAAUAAGGCACCGUGACACUAUGUUUCCGGUCUGACCUGAUGCAGUCAUUAGCUUUGGCAUACCACGACAACGUCGUGCAAAAUUCUACGACCCCCUGUCUGUAUGAAUUUAUAAAUAAUCCCGGUACGCCAGUGGCGGCGGCGGUGUGGCAGACCGCGGACGGCGCGGGCGCGCGAUCCGUAAUGAGCGCCCGCCCUAAACGACUCUUGCGAUUCGACCACAGCUCCUAGCUAAGUCAUAGAAACAACGCUACGAUUUCCAUCUAAAGUCGCGUUUACAUAGCUUAUACACAAGUGAUCGUCGCGAGUGCAAAAGCUGGUUUUAAAAGUAACUAGUGUUUUAAUAUCAUUAAUAUCUAUGAAGGAAAAGUUUGUUUCAGUGCAAAAGUGUACAUGUGUUUCUCCUACAAUCAACUUUUAAACUCAAACAGGUUUUGAAUGUCGUAAAAUGAAAAAAAAAACUUUCGUUUUGAUAAUGUCUUCGGUGUAUUCAGUUGACCGGUCACCGAGAUUUUUGCUCCGGUGUCAGCUUGAUUAAGCGCAGACGUGCCACUUCCAAUUUGCAGAAGAAUAAAUUGUCGUUUGUUCGAGCACUUGCAAAAGUAUUUUUGUAUUUGCGAAGAUAUCUUGAUAAUAUUUACCUCUUUUUUCGCUUAUAUUGCGGAUCAUGUUUUCAUUUUUUUAUCGUUGAAGAUGAAUUACUGCGGGUGAAUGCAUUUGAAAUUCUAAUUUUAUCUGGCUAUAGUUCCUUUACAAAAAGACUAGACAGUGUCCACGAAUACAACGAGACGGCUAAUAGGACUAAUCAGCUGUCAGCAUGACUGCUCAUUUAGUUGGAGAAUUUGACUUUCAGUGAUGAACAUGUCUUAUUAUUUAAAAAAUAAUAAUGCUCUAGUGUUCAGUGCCAAUUAUUCUGUGCUCGUCUGUCUAGACAUGUUUUUGUUAAAGUGUAUUGUGUAACAAGUGCCUAAAUAACACGUAAAAAUGAUGCAAGGUUUGUUGGACUCGCUCUACAAAAUAUACUCAGGUAAGUUUUCAUGGACUUUUUUUGGUUUUUAUCAUUCAACGUUUAAAGUUAUUAUUCGGUUAUGACUGUAAGUGUUACCUAACACCUGUCUCUCACUAUAUUGCUUGUCUACUAAUUUCCAUGAUCUGUCUACUCAGUUAUAUUCAACUGUGACUGUACAAUACAAAUGAGGGUAUUAUGCGCAGAUGACCUCGGUCAAAUUACGAGUAAUUUUCGCAUGAAUUUACUCAACGACCCGUUGUUUGAGAGUUGCGUAAUACUAAUUUAACCUGCGGGUAAUCUACUAGAUCAAUUUAAUAUGACGACAAAGAAAUAUGACAUUAUCUUUGACAUUUCAAUUUGGUAUUCACCGGCUCUAUUUUUUUCCGAUGCGAGUGUAGUUCACGGUUUAAU